UACGAAGGGGGCUAGCGUUGCUCGGAAUUACUGGGCGUAAAGCGCACGUAGGCGGAUUGUUAAGUCGGGGGUGAAAGCCUGGAGCUCAACUCCAGAAUUGCCUUUAAGACUGCAUCGCUUGAAUCCAGGAGAGGUGAGUGGAAUUCCGAGUGUAGAGGUGAAAUUCGUAGAUAUUCGCAAGAACACCAGUGGCGAAGGCGGCUCACUGGCCCGAUACUGACGCUGAGGCACGAAAGCGUGGGGAGCAAACAGG
rnacentral:rRNA from 1 species